CCUGAGCCGAAGGCAGACGCUUAACGACUGAGCCACCCAGGCGCCCCAACAGAGAUUUAAGUUUGUUUGUUUGUUUGUUUGUUUGUCUGUUUUAGUAAUCUAUACACCCGGUGUGGGGCUUGAACUCACUACCUGAAGGUCAAGAGUCACAUGCUCUUCUGACUGAGCCAGCCAGGGACCCUGAAGAGAAUGCUGGGGCAGUCACAUUCUUGGGCCUCAGCCAAGCAUGGAUGGGCCACCCCGAUCAACUAGCAAUGGGUGGGCACAUGCGCUGUUUACAGGGUCUUCAUCACUCACUCGGGAGCCCUGGAAUUCAAAUUUGCCCUUUUCUUCAUUCUCCGAACACUUUUUGAGCAUGAACUGAACUCCAGCAGUGCUGGGCUCGAAGCCCAGGACACUGCUGCUCUCGGCCUCGUGACACCAGCCUGCGCUCGGAUGCCCAUGCUUUCGAGCCUCGGGACGUCCAGUCACGGUGUCUGUUCUGCCAGGAAUGCCAUUGUUCCCUCUCUCAUUCCCACAUCUUGUCGCCUUCACUGUUCAGCUCAAAUGCCAUCGCCCCCAGGAAGGCUCUCCUCCUGUGCCAGCAGACUAGAACACAGAUAAUAUGGGCACCAGAAGGGGCAACUCGCUGCCCACAGUGGCCUCUACCUUCUGCCUGGGUCAAAAUCAAACACGCAGAGCCUUUUUCUCCCCCACCCCGCAGUACACAGAAGUGCGCACUAGGUGGUGAUAAAACGACGAUGGCCCCGCGGGGAUGAGCCAGGAGGGAGGCCACUCAGGCGCCGCCCACCAGUAUCAUUUAUUCAUUCCCUCAACAAAUGUUUUCUGAGCACCUGGCAUGAGCAAGACUGCAGGACAACAGUGGCAAACAAAGCAACAAAGGCCCUGCUCUCAAGAAGCUUAUGCUCUAAUGGCAGGAGGUAAGAGAAAAAACACAGCAAAUACAGAAAGAAAGCAAGAUAACCAUGGGACAGAGGCGAAGGUUGCACAGAAAAUGCUGGGGCUCACUUGCGUUCAGACCCGAGUGAGCAUUUCUUCAGUGAACAGCAGGAUCUGUCAUCAGAGUGUCACUUAGGAUCUCGGAGAGCAGCCGAGCUGGAAGUUUCCCUAGCCUCUUGUUACUCAAAAUGCACUCCAUGGAUCAGCAGCAGCAACAGGUGGACGCUUAUAGGAAAUGCAGAGUCUCAGGUCUCACCCAAGUCUACUGAAUUAGAAUCUGCAUUUUAAGAAGAUCCCCAGGUAAUUUUUGUGCGCACGUGAAAGUGAGAAGCUCUGCUCCAGUCCAGCUCUACUGGGCUCUUUGCAGAAAAAGUUUCCCGAUCCCUGGCCUAGUGCAUUCUCCUCAGAUGAGAAAUUGGGCCUUAGAGAGAAGAGGAUCUUAUCGAGGCCUUAUAGGAGCCCUGCUCACAUUUCCAUAUGCCACUCAAGGCCUUGUUUGCAGAGCCUCUGGUUUGGGCAGUUGGACUACUUUCACCUUUUCUGUGUUUGGAGUGAUAGUCUUGUUGAAAAGUUUCUUGUCUAAGAUUUAUGAUAUAUUCAUGACCUUUCAAUGAGAUUUCCAUGUCAAAAGAAGCCAGUUUGGAGUCUAGAAUGAGACGAGGGUAUCCAAAGGAGAACCAGGUUCCUUUUACUAGAGUGUACAUGACUGAUAUUAGGUUUUUUCCUGAGAAAGUGGGGUCCCUGAGCUCCUGAAGGGAGGAGAGGGUUUCAGGGGGGUCAGCGCAGGAAACAGGAAGGAGUCUUUCCUGCCCCUAGCCCACCCACAAAGUGAGGGGUUCCUGGACCGUGUGGGGUGCUCUGAGGCUUUGAGCUGGGCCGGCAGUUGAGCACCUAUCUCAAGUCACCAAGUACUUCCCUGCCAUCUCCAUUAUGAGUUUGGGGGAGUUGGUGUUGGCAGGCGUGCAGGCACUGAGAGGUGGUGGCAGAGAGCACAGAGGUCCAGGCCUGGGCUGUGGCUGGGGAUGCAGCUCAGAGCGGCUCCCCCUGCUUGGCCCCAUCUAUGAUGGCCAUCAUCCUCAGGCUCGAGAGUAAUCUCAAUACUUAGGUUUAAAUAUCAGCUCAGCCACUUACCAGCUGUGAGACCUUGGACAAGUUUCUUAACCUUUCUGGGCCUCAGUUUCCUCAUCUGCAAAAUGGGAAUACUAAGAGCACCCACCGCAGAGAGUCGCUGUGAAGACAACAUGUGGUGACCUGAAGGACAGCCACAGACACCACUGGCACAUAGUAAGUGUUAGCUCUAAUAACAUGUUGCAAUAAUAUGACCAAUCAUUUUUUACAUGAACAGCUGGGCAGCACAUAACUCUGAGUCAGAGAUCUGACCAGCAUUUAUGGGCACCUGCAUUGUGCCCCCUACUUGCAGGCACUUUUCUAUAUGUUGCCUCUUGCAGCCCUUCACCAUGGCCUAGGAGGCAGCCAUACUCCCUGCCUCCCAGCCUGCAGCUACUCCACGGCAGUUCCACCUUCAGGUGUGUCUGGGAUGCGUGCCCAGGCUGAGUCACUCUAUGCCUGAGUGGGUGGGGAGAGGGGGCUAGGUAACAAGGUCAGCCCUGGGGUGCUGCCGUGGGGCCCCCAACCCAGGGGACCAAGGCUGGAUUCUAGCCAGGGCUGGGAGCAACAGAGGAGCAGAGAGUCAAGCAGGUCCCCAGGACAGCUGGUCGGGGCUCAGGAGGGUUACUAGGUUGGCUCAGGCUCAAGGUCCAAGAUUCCAGAAGUUGGAAUGGGGACAAAUCUUAGAGAUGGGGUAGAAGCCAGAUGGUUAGGAAAGAUCCCAAGGGCCGAGAGCCCUGAGUCCUCUACACCCCCUGACCAAGGGCAGGAGGGGUCCAGAGCCUAGAGCAGGGGAGGGGAUUGUAGGGGGCAAGUGCCAUAGCGGUGGGUGUGAAGCCAGGGAGGCAGGGAGUGCCUGACGUGGACAUGGGCAUGACUUGGGCCCAUUACCUUCCCCUGACCAAAGAGGUGAGGAUCAAAGUCAAUCCCAUUCGGUCAGCAUUUCCUGUGGACUUCCCAGGCUCUGGUCCUGGGCUUAGUGCAUACUGACCACCAUGACAUCCAAUGAUUGGUCCCCCAUUCUGUGGUUUGGAAACCAAGGAUCCAUCAGAAAUGCUUUGCCUGAUGCCAUCUGGCUAGUUUGUGGUUGAGGCAGAUAUUCUGAGCCAACCCUGUUCUCACAAAGCCUCGGAAAUGAAACAGGCCACAAGCACCUAACUCUGCUCCUAAAGGGGCCCUAAGGGGCCCUGAGAUAUGUCCUUACCUAUAUUAGUGUACUACGGCAAAUAACCACAAAACAACAGCCCUUUACUACCUCACAUAUGACCAGUCACGUAAGACUAGCUAGAAAGGGGGCGCCUGGGUGGCUCAGUCGGUUAAGCGGCUGCCUUCGGCUCAGGUCAUGGUCCCAGGGUCCUGGGAUCGAGGCCCGCAUUGGGCUCCCUGCUCAGCGGGGAGUCUGCUUCUCUCUCUUCCUCUGCCCCUUUCCCCUGUUGCCCCUUUCCCUCCCUCCCUCUCUCUCAAACAAAUAAAUAAAAUCUUAAAAAAAGAAAGAAAGAAAGAAAGAAAAAAGACUCCAUGACUGCAUGACCAAUGGAAUUUGGCAGAAGAGAUGUAGUACUAUUUCCAGGCUCAGACCUUAAGAGGCUGAGAGGUUUCCCCUUUCUGUUUUCUUGGAAUGGCCUAGGCUUGGAGCCCAGGCUCCAGGCUGGCAGGAAGUCCAGGCCACAGGCAGAGGUCCUGUGUAGACGUCCAGACCAACAGCCUAGCCAAGGGCCCAGCUGACAGCCAGCACUGAUAAGCAGACAUAGGAGUGACUCCAGCCCAACCAGCCUCUGACUACAUGCAAGAGCCUGAAAAGAAGCUCUAGCUGAGUCCAGCCAAUGUCCAGAACCACAAGAAAUGAUAGUAAAAUGACUGCCAUUGUUUUGAAAUAAUUCGUUACAUAGCAACAGACACCUGAUAACACUAUGUGUGACAAAACGUAGACGUCAUAAAGAAUCAAAAAUGUCUGCAUUAAAAAUAAUUAACAAAAUCACAGGGCUAACACAAACUGGGGGAAAGACCAUAUUUGCAACUACAGACAGAGGGCUUAUUUCCUUAUUGUACAAAUAAUGCCUGCGAAUCACUAAGAAAAGAUGCCCAGCUUAUCUGCACAGGCAAAGCAUACCAAUGGAUAGUUUAUAGAAAAAUAGGUGCUUUCAUACAUUACCCAUAAGAGGAUAUAGAACAACUGUGAAAAACAUUUUAUCAGAAUCUGUCAAAAUUUCUAGUGCAUGUAUUUUCUGACCCAGCAAUUUCGUUUCUGGGAAUUUAUCCUACAGCUGCAUUUACACCUGCACACAAUGACAUCUGCCAAAGGUUCUUCACUGGGGCACCGUCAUAGUAAAAGAUGGGGAAACAAUCUAAAUGUCCCUUAGUAGGGAAUUGUUCAUUGUUUAUGGUUCACUCCUACAGUGCAAUGCUCUGCAUCAAUAAGAAGAAUGAUGUGUACUGAUGUGGAGUGGCCACCAAGAUACACCGUUCAGUAAAGAACCGGUGAUGCAAAGUGUGUGUACAUGCUACCAUUUCUGUGAAAGUGUGUGCAUAUUCUUGUAAAUAUCAAGCCCCUCUGGAAGAUGCCACUGUUUCUGGGGAGAGGAUCUGAGUGGGGGGACCGGGGAGAAGAGAAACAAUUCCAUCUUAUACCCUUGUGUGCCUUUGGGAAUUUGCAUCUUGUGCAUUUAUGAAUUAUUCCCAAAUUAAAUAAAACAUUCCUUUAAAAAUAGUACUUGAAUAACUGGGUAGCCAUCUGAGAACAUUCAGGCGAGCACCUCCUCAAACCAUAUACACACAGUGUUCCAAAGGGAUUCAAUGGAGAUGUGAAAUUAUAUGCAAAGUGAAAUUAGAAAAGCCCUACAAAAACUCCUUUUCAUACUGUCAUUUUGAACUUCUGUGUGCUCUGAGUCUCGAUCUCCCUGCCAGAACUAGGGCCCUGGCUCUCAGUUGUCCAGGUGUCUCUUAGGCUGCCCAUUGCAUGCUGCUGACUCUGGAACUAUGUCCCUAGCCCCCACCUGUCCCUGACCUUCAGACCCCACGUCCCUCCUGGGCUUUUCCACCAGAAACUCAGAACAUCUUGCAAGCAUCCUGAACUCAUUCCUUGCCAAGCUGAACUCAGCCUCCCCAAACCCUGCACCUCCUCCUGGAUAUCCAUCCAAGUGACAAAGUGACAGCCAGUUCCAAGAGUCCUCCUAAGGCAAUACCUUAGAUGUAGCUCCUCACUUGCCCCUUUUACUUCUGUUACUGACCGAAUGUUUGUGUCUCCCCACCCCAUUCAUAUUUUGAAAUCCUCAUGCCCAGUGUGAUGGAAUUAAGAGGUGAGGCCAUGGGGCGCCUGGGUGGCUCAGUCGUUAGGCCUCUGCCUUCAGCUCAGGUCAUGAUCCCAGGGUCCUGGGAUCGAGCCCCACAUCGGGCUCCCUGCUCGGCGGGAAGCCUGCUUGUCCCUC